UCCCUGGUAGUCCAAUGGUCAGGACUUAGCUUUCAAUGCCAAGGGGCUGGGUUCAACUCCCUGGUCAGGGAA
rnacentral:tRNA from 1 species